AGAGGUUUCAGGGAUGAGAGAUGAACCUUGCUAUUUGGAUUUGGUUGUAGUUAGUGGUGAAGUAAUGGGUGUCGUUGUGUUUAAUGGGUAGGAGGUACCUCCUUUUAUAGCAGCUUGAAGCUACUCCUUUCCAAAAAACCCUAAUGGUUUCUCUCUAAUUUUGCCAAGUCUCCCCUUUCAUUUCACUUCUCUCCCUUUGACUCAUCCCAUUUUGUGAAAUCUCCCUCUGUCCAAACACACAAAGACAAGAUUUUUGGGAGCUCUAAGGCUUUCCCGCAGCUGCUUCAUUAAUGAACUCCCAUUUUUGGCUACCUCCUCACCUUCUUUCCUUCCCUCUUCCAUGGCAAGAGUUGGUGGGAGAAAGAAAUGGGUAAGGGCGCUGGUUUGAAGGGUGCCUCUUCUCCUAGCAAAUUGC
rnacentral:lncRNA from 1 species